rnacentral:rRNA from 1 species
GACGAACCGAGCGAACGUUGUUCGGAAUCACUGGGCGUAAAGCGCACGUAGGCGGACUCUUAAGUCGGUGGUGAAAUCCUGGAGCUCAACUCCAGAACUGCCUUCGAUACUGAGAGUCUCGAGUCCGGGAGAGGUGAGUGGAACUGCGAGUGUAGAGGUGAAAUUCGUAGAUAUUCGCAAGAACACCAGUGGCGAAGGCGGCUCACUGGCCCGGUACUGACGCUGAGGUGCGAAAGCGUGGGGAGCAAACAGG